rnacentral:rRNA from 1 species
CAGCAGCCGCGGUAAUACGUAGGUGGCAAGCGUUGUCCGGAAUUAUUGGGCGUAAAGGGCUCGCAGGCGGUUUCUUAAGUCUGAUGUGAAAGCCCCCAGCUCAACCGGGGAGGGUCAUUGGAAACUGGGAAACUUGAGUGCAGGAAAGGAGAGUGGAAUUCCACGUGUAGCGGUGAAAUGCGUAGAGAUGUGGAGGAACACCAGUGGCGAAGGCGACUCUCUGGUCUGUAACUGAUGCUGAGGAGCGAAAGCGUGGGGAGCGAACAGGAUUAGAUACCCCGGUAGUCCCUGUCUCUUAUAC